rnacentral:rRNA from 1 species
ACUGCCGGUGACAAACCGGAGGAAGGUGGGGAUGACGUCAAGUCCUCAUGGCCCUUAUGGGUAGGGCUUCACACGUCAUACAAUGGUCGGGACAGAGGGUCGCCAACCCGCGAGGGGGAGCCAAUCUCAGAAACCCGAUCGUAGUCCGGAUCGCAGUCUGCAACUCGACUCCGUGAAGUCGGAAUCGCUAGUAAU